UAGAUAGAGGCGCGGUGUUCAAGAGUAGCUUCCGGCAAGGCCAGGCAGCCGCCGGGAAGGAAAGGGACCACCGCCGAAGGAUAGGAAGAUUGCCUGAUUUUCCUAUGCUGGGCCGGCAGAGAAGAUCUGCCGGACUGUCACAGUUUUUUGUGAAGCGCUAUCG
rnacentral:ncRNA from 1 species